GGUAUUUCAGUUUUGUUUGUUUGAAUCUUUAAUUUAAAUUUUAAAAGAAAAAGUUUGGGCCACAUAUGCCAAAAGAAAAGGGGAAAAAUGACACAACUUCUUACAGCGUGCAAUGAAAAAGAAGAUGGUUACCGUUAUGUUGAGAUCUUUAAAGGGUGAUUGGUUCAUGAUGACGAAAGCCCAAAGUUUGACCUCGUUGACUGAAUCAUGAUGCGUGCCAUUCACGCUCUUCCAUAUUCUAUUUCUCAUUCAACCUAUUCCUA
rnacentral:lncRNA from 1 species